GGGUUGGGCUCUUGCUUGGUUUUCCCUUUGCUGUACAAUAUUAGAGGAGUCAUUUGGGUUUUCUCUUCUUUUCUAAUUUUGGGACAUGGCACAAGAUGAGGAGAUGCAGUCAGAUGUGGCAGCCACAAGCCCUGUGGGGAGCAGAGCCAGUGUGCUGUGCUGCUCAGGGCUAGCAGCAAGGACCCCAAGUGACCUCCCUGCUGUCAGCACACGCAGCUGCAGGAGACAGCGAAGUUCACGUGAGAAGGUUCAGGGCAGAGUUGGGCCCCAGCUGAAAGCUUGUGAAAAUGCUGCUCUGCUGUUGUGGAUCUGGUCCCAUCACCUCCUGUGAACUCGCUGAUACCUCACCACUGUAAGAGACAGCAAGAUCUGGCAGCUCUGUGCAUCUCCAGUGAACAGGGAAUGUGCAAAUCAAACAGAACUUCCUGUUUCCAGUCUUCCAGCAAGCGCAUGUUUCAGUUUGUCUUCCUCUCCCAUUGCAAAAGGAGAAAAAAAAAGAUGCACUUGAAAAAGGAUGGAUCCUUGCCUUCAUAUUAUGUCUGCAAGAGUAAGAACGAAACGCGUCUGGGCACGACAGGAUCUUAGUAAGGGCUUUGAUUCACAAGUGGGAGCACUGUGUAUUGGGACAGCUGCUGUUAUUCCUGCCCAGCUCCCAGCUCCAGCCCUCCGAGGAUCCCGCCUCCGCUGCAGGGGUGUCCCGGUCGGUCACACAGCAGCUGAACUGCCACAGUUCAUAACCAAACAAGUUCAAGUGGCACCCUGCUGCUAUCACCGACUUUGCAGUGUGAGAGGCACAGCACCUUCUUUCGUGUCAGAUCUGCAGCUCAUGACUUGCAGUAGACACAGCUGUUCCAGUUACACCAGAUCUCCAGCAUGUUCCCCUUCAAUUGCUUCUUUUCAAGUGAAAAGGGCUCAUCUCUCCUGCUGCUACAGCCAUUUUAAAUGUGUCACCUUGGAGUUCCCUAGUUCUGAAGGGAAAGAAGAGCAAUGGGAUGGCCUGUGUUUUCCACCCACCCCUGAAACUGGUGACAAUGCCAGCCUGAGAUGUGGGGAGCAGCAGCAGCAGGCUCCUAGCAGCCCUAGAAGCUGGUUUCCAUCAGCAGGAGCCACUGUGGCUUUCCUGAGCUCUGGCUCUGCUACACAUCAUGCCCCAGAGGGAUGGCUAAAGAAGAAGAGGAAUAGUGAAAUUUCACUCAAAGCAGUUCCAUUCACCCAUUCGCAGAUUUCCCUGUAA
rnacentral:lncRNA from 1 species